rnacentral:lncRNA from 1 species
GGGCAUGUCCCGACCUUAGUUAAACUCUGUGUAUUGUCUAGAGGCUUUGUAGACCUAAUGUACAGUCAAGGUGGUGUUUUGUUAAUAGACGUGAUGGCUCCAACCACCAAGUAUUAUAUAUCCAUAUAUAUGUGUGCUCGAGCUUAUACAGGUGAUUAUUUCCUUUUAUAUGUGACAUGAUGUUGUACAAAUUAUUGGUUUUCAUAGAGGUAUGCAUGGGAAGUAUAAGGUUAUGAGCUGGUUCUCCC